UGCGUAGGUGGCCGCUCAAGUUAGUAGUGAAAUUCCGAGGCUUAACCUCGGCGCUACUACUAAGACUGAGUGGCUUGAGUGCAGGAGAGGUAAGCGGAAUUCCUAGUGUAGCGGUGGAAUGCGUAGAUAUUAGGAGGAACACCGGUGGCGAAAGCGGCUUACUGGCCUGUAACUGACACUGAGGCACGAAAGCGUGGGGAGCAAACA
rnacentral:rRNA from 1 species